rnacentral:rRNA from 1 species
CAGCCGCCACGGUAAUACCAGCAGCCCAAGUGGUGGUCGCGAUUAUUGGGCCUAAAGCGCUCGUAGCCGGGCCGGUAAGUCCCUUGUGAAAUCGGACGGCCUAACCGUUCGGCGUGCAAGGGAUACUGUCGGUCUUGAGGCCGGGAGACGUCCGAGGUACUCCGGGGGUAGCGGUGAAAUGUUCUAAUCCUCGGGGGACCACCGGUGGCGAAGGCGUUCGACGAGAACGGGCCUGACGGUGAGGGGCGAAGGCUAGGGGAGCAAACGGGAUUAGAUACCCGCGUAGUCCCUGUCUCUUAUA